UACAGAGGUGGCAAGCGUUGUUCGGAAUUACUGGGCGUAAAGGGCGCGUAGGCGGUCUUGUCAGUCCCUUGUGAAAUCCCCCGGCUCAACUGGGGAACUGCACGGGAAACAGCAGGGCUUGAGUUCGGGAGAGGGAAGCGGAAUUCCGGGUGUAGCGGUGAAAUGCGUAGAUAUCCGGAGGAACACCGGUGGCGAAGGCGGCUUCCUGGACCGACACUGACACUGAGGAGCGAAAGCCAGGGGAGCAAACGGG
rnacentral:rRNA from 1 species